rnacentral:rRNA from 1 species
CCUACGGGAGACAGCAGUGAGGAAUAUUGGUCAAUGGGCGAGAGUCUGAACCAGCCAAGUAGCGUGAAGGAUGACUGCCCUACGGGUUGUAAACUUCUUUUAUAAAGGAAUAAAUUUAGGCACGUGUGCCUUUUUGUAUGUACUUUAUGACUAAGGAUCGGCUAACUCCGUUCCAGCAGCCGCGGUAAUCCGGAGGAUCCGAGCGUUAUCCGGAUUUAUUGGGUUUAAAGGGAGCGUAGAUGGGUUGUUAAGUCAGUUGUGAAAGUUUGCGGCUCAACCGUAAAAUUGCAAUUGAUACUGGCAGUCGUGAGUACAGGUGAGGUAGGCGGAAUUCGUGGUAUAGCGGUGAAAUGCUUAGAUAUCACGAAGAACUCCGAUUGCGAAGGCAGCUUACUAAACUGCCACUGACAUUGAUGCUCGAAAGUGUGGGUAUCAAACAGGAUUAGAUACCCGUGUAGUC